AGGGAAUUAAGGGAGUCAAUUGAACUACCUCUGAUGAAUCCUGAGCUCUUUCUUCGAUUUGGAAUUAAACCUCCAAAGGGUGUUCUCCUUUACGGGCCUCCUGGUACUGGUAAAACAUUGUUAGCCGGGCUAUUGCCAGUAAUAUAGAUGCUAACUUCCUAAAGGUUAUUUCCAGUGCCAUAAUUGACAAGUACAUUGGAGAAAGUGCCAGGUUAAUCAGAGAGAUGUUUGGUUAUGCACGUGAUCACCAGGUGAGAUACUUGUGUGAAAUUGUCUUCCUA